rnacentral:lncRNA from 1 species
GGAAAUUAUGUCAUAUCCAUCCAAUCUUACGGAAAAUACUUUUCGAUAUUUUUAACAAAAGCAGUUACUGGGAGAAUAGAACCUAUCUUCAGAAGCAUGGAUACCCCUAAGAGAGAUAGGUGGUAUUCUUCCCUCAGCGUGUCACCUUUUUAUUUCUCUAAAAACAAUCUGAAGCAACCUGGGGUCUCCAUCUUCGUCACCUGAAGAGUCCACCUGGAUCAGCUCCUUUCCCAGAGUUCUCGCUCUCAGAGAGAAAUGAAAAAAGAAUCAGCAGAGAUCCCCAAGAUGCUUGCUGCAUUCCAGCCUCAGACCCUCACUUGGACCAGGGACGCGGAGUGAACUCUCAGGUGAAAGGAUACUGGGUCUGCGCCAAGAAUGCUGGCCAAUCAGAGAAGCCGAGAAACAAGUUAUGCAUGAGGUCUGUGGCAGACGCGACUCGAUGGAUUUGUCUUCACAGCGGCUGCUUACUUGCUGCUCUCUGCGCGCGCGUCUCGUGAACAACCGAAUUUCGGGUAAUUUACCUGAAAUACGUCACGGACAGUGGCAGGGAAAGGAUAUGCAACUUAAACCCCUCUCCUCUCCUCAUCCUCAUAGAACAGCCCCCACCAGUUCGCGGAAUUCGCGGAGUCCUGGACUCCAUACAGCGCCGGCCACCAGAAAAUGUGAAACGGAGGCGGCAGCGAAAGGGCAACCCCUCACGGGUCCUGCUGCCCGCCCUGCUUUAGCUGUGGGGGGAGGACACACAUGGCCCGAGUUGGGGCGAGACCUUGAACCCCUCCUUCCUCCCAAGACCCGCAUCUGGAGAGAAAUGACAGUGCUCCGUGGAUUUGGGGGAAGUGGUGAAGUCAUCUGUGGCUCAUCUGGGGGUAUGGUGAGCCUGCGUAAGGCCAAAGAAGUGAUGCCUGACCACACCCCCAGGGGAGAAGACUCUUCCGUGUUACCCGCAGAAUCUCAGAAUGUCAGACCUCUGCCUGAGCUCCCCUCCGUUAUAUCUACAUCCCUUUUUAAUUUGGGGCACACCAGGCUUCCCUAAAUUAUUUAAAAUAUCUCUAGGAAUUUGCUUCAACGGUUGAGAACCACAUAAGUGGGCUGAGUCCCACACAGUAGUGAAUGUUCUUUGUCGAUCUCUCUAGUUAAUAUUUUUGAAGCAGCGGAAGGCCCAGAGAAAUAAUUGAAUUACCCAGGAUGCCACAAAGAUUAAGUGAUGGUGGCCCAAGAAUUCCUCUUCAGCAAGUCUUAAAAGUAUGAAAGGGCUUUGCAAUCAUUAUAUAAAAAACAAAAACGCCUAUCUAUUUUGUUGUAUAGCUAGUGCUUUGUGCCUGAGCAUUUCUCACUACAACCUGGGAUUAUUGCCCACUAUUACACUUGAGGAGGUGGAGACCCAGAGAGGUAGUGUCACUUGUUCAUUAAAACCAGAAAUUGGACUGGACCCUAGGAAAGUGGAUCAUUUUAUUUUUAAACUUUACCUAAUAUCUUUAAUGGAUCCAGGAUGUCCAGCAAACUAAAGCAGGAAUUCAGGAGUGGCAUCAAGAUUGAAAAAAAAAGAAAAAAUUCAGUCCCAUCCUCAGAGAAUUUAGGUCUUGGAGAAAAGGGACAGAUGGCUAAGAUAAAAGACAUGGGAAGGAGAGGGAGCUUUGAAGAUUGGAGGCCCUGCCUGUGGACUACAGUGUUGAGACAACACCUAGUUCUUGGAACAUCACAGAUUGGAUCGUUUUUACUUGGAAAAAAUGGGGAAAUCAGGAUAAACUCAGAGAGGAGAUUAGCAUAGUCUAUGGUCCACAAGCUNNNNNNNNNNNNNNNNNNNNNNNNNNNNNNNNNNNNNNNNNNNNNNNNNNNNNNUAAUUUUUUUUUAAUUUCCUUUAAAUAAAAGAAAACUUUAUACCUAUGGAAAGGUACACUGUGGGCCAGGAAAAACUCAGGAUAGACAACCCAAACAGACUGCUGUUGCUGCUGCUAAGUCACUUCAGUUGUGCCCAACUCUGUGCGACCCCACAGACAGCCGCCCACAAGGUUCCCCUGUCCCUGGGAUUCUUCAGGCAAG